UCUAUCUAGGAAGAAGAUGUCCCCUUGGCUGAUGUUGAUGCUAAGCUAGCUUUAGAGCUUGGUGGGAUUCUUGUUCAGCAGACUAGAUAUAGGACUCUGAACGAAAGACCAAUAUUUCUGGAUUUCUCAAAACCUGACCCCAAAAAAGCGGGACAUUUGAAGAUUGGUGUUGGCAUUCUGGAGUGGAGUUUUUGUGGAAGAUAUUUAGCCUCCAGAUGUGAUAGUCUUCCUACCGGAGUUUGGAUUUGGGACUUAACCACCCUUAAACUAGCGGCUGUUCUUAUUCAUAAGGCUAGUGUGAAGCAAAUGCAGUGGGAAAGAACCCAACCUAGACUUGCAACAAUAACAGGUGGUACUGCCUUGUUUUUCUGGACUCCUCUUGGAGCAAUAGUUGGUAGAAUACCUUCAGUUUCUAGGUAUU